UACAGAGACCCCGAGCAUUACCCGGAAUCACUGGGCGUAAAGGGUGUGUAGGCGGCAUAGUUAGUCUCUUGUUAAAGCCGGGGGCUCAACCCCCGGACUGCGAGGGAAACGGCUAAGCUUGGAGGAUGCGAGAGGUGUACGGAACUCACGGUGUAGGGGUGAAAUCCGUUGAUAUCGUGGGGAACACCAAAUGCGAAGGCAGUACACUGGCGCAUUCCUGACGCUGAAACACGAAAGCCAGGGUAGCGAACGGG
rnacentral:misc_RNA from 1 species